UACGUAGGGGGCAAGCGUUGUCCGGAAUUAUUGGGCGUAAAGAGCUCGUAGGCGGUCUGUUACGUCUGCUGUGAAAACCCGGGGCUUAACCCUGGGCUUGCAGUGGAUACGGGCAGACUAGAGGCAGGUAGGGGAGAAUGGAAUUCCCGGUGUAGCGGUGUAAUGCGCAGAUAUCGGGAGGAACACCGGUGGCGAAGGCGGUUCUCUGGGCCUGACCUGACGCUGAGGAGCGAAAGCGUGGGGAGCGAACAGG
rnacentral:rRNA from 1 species